CCUACGGGAGGCAGCAGUGAGGAAUAUUGGUCAAUGGCCGAGAGGCUGAACCAGCCAAGUCGCGUGAGGGAAGACGGCCCUACGGGUUGUAAACCUCUUUUGCCGGGGAGCAAAGCGAGUCACGUGUGACUCAUUGAGAGUACCCCUAGAAAAAGCAUCGGCUAACUCCGUGCCAGCAGCCGCGGUAAUACGGGGGAUGCGAGCGUUAUCCGAAUUUAUUGGGUUUAAAGGGUGCGCAGGCGGAGGUGCAAGUCAGCGGUCAAAUUGCGGGGCACAACCCCGUACUGCCGUUGAAACUGCAUGCCUUGAGUGCGCGAGAAGUAUGCGGAAUGCGUGGUGUAGCGGUGAAAUGCAUAGAAAUAACGCAGAAAUCCGAUUGCGAGGGCAGCAUACCGGCGCGCAACUGACGCUCAUGCACGAAAGCGUGGGUAUCGAACAGGAUUAGAUACCCCAGUAGUC
rnacentral:rRNA from 1 species